rnacentral:rRNA from 1 species
AUUGAACGCUGGCGGCAUGCCUUACACAUGCAAGUCGAACGGCAGCGGACCUUCGGGUGCCGGCGAGUGGCGAACGGGUGAGUAAUAUAUCGGAACGUACCUUUCAGUGGGGGAUAACGUAGCGAAAGUUACGCUAAUACCGCAUAUUCUGUGAGCAGGAAAGCAGGGGGAUCGCAAGACCUUGCGCUGAUUGAGCGGCCGAUAUCAGAUUAGCUAGUUGGUGAGGUAAAGGCUCACCAAGGCGACGAUCUGUAGCGGGUCUGAGAGGAUGAUCCGCCACACUGGAACUGAGACACGGUCCAGACUCCUACGGGAGGCAGCAGUGGGGAAUUUUGGACAAUGGGCGCAAGCCUGAUCCAGCCAUGCCGCGUGAGUGAAGAAGGCCUUCGGGUUGUAAAGCUCUUUCGGCCGGGAAGAAAUCGCACAGGUUAAUACCCUGUGUGGAUGACGGUACCGGAAUAAGAAGCACCGGCUAACUACGUG